GCGUUCCAGGUAACUUUCGUGACCUAGAUUGCACGUUUUAAUUCUUAGGACGUUUGCUUCCCAAAUCAUUUGGGAACACGAUAUGGGUUGCCAAAUCAAGUGAUCCCAUCCACACGAUAUGGUUGAGGAGUUCACUUUCAUUUGCUGAUCAGCGUUUCUUCUAGUUGAGGAGUUCACUUUCAGCUAGCAGGGCUGGUUGUUUAGGCUGGAUUUUGGGUUUACUAGAAAUAUAGAGCAGAAAUACAGGAGAACAAUUGGGGUUUUUAUAGGGAUGGGAUUAAUAAGUGA
rnacentral:misc_RNA from 1 species